UACGGAGGGAGCUAGCGUUGUUCGGAAUUACUGGGCGUAAAGCGCACGUAGGCGGCUUUGUAAGUUAGAGGUGAAAGCCCGGGGCCCAACUCCGGAACUGCCUUUAAGACUGCAUCGCUUGAAUCCAGGAGAGGUGAGUGGAAUUCCGAGUGUAGAGGUGAAAUUCGUAGAUAUUCGGAAGAACACCAGUGGCGAAGGCGGCUCACUGGACUGGUAUUGACGCUGAGGUGCGAAAGCGUGGGGAGCAAACAGG
rnacentral:rRNA from 1 species